GCCAGCAGCAACGUCACCCUGCAACUCACAACUGGCAACCCACUGAAGCUAAGCAGGUGUGAGCCUGGUCAGUACCUGGAUGGGAGACUCCUGGGAAAAACUAAGGUUGCUGCUGGAA
rnacentral:rRNA from 1 species